GAAUCAACGCGUGGCGGCGUGCCUCAGACAUGCAAGUCGAACGCGAAAGUUUCCUUCGGGGAACAAGUAGAGUGGCGCACGGGUGAGUAACACGUAGGUAAUCUACCUUUGGAUGGGGAAUAACAACCGGAACGGUUGCUAAUACCGCAUAAUGCUAGCGGCACCUAAUGGUGACAGUUGUUAAAGCGGGGGAUCGAAAGACCUCGCGUCUGAAGAGGAGCCUGCGGCGGAUUAGCAGUUGGUAA
rnacentral:rRNA from 1 species